UUGAACGCUGGCGGAAUGCUUUACACAUGCAAGUCGAACGGCAGCACGGGGGCAACCCUGGUGGCGAGUGGCGAACGGGUGAGUAACACAUCGGAACGCGUCCUGUAAUGGGGGAUAACCUGGCGAAAGCCAGGCUAAUACCGCAUACGUCCUGAGGGAGAAAGCGGGGGAUCGCAAGACCUCGCGUUAUAGGAGCGGCCGAUGUCGGAUUAGCUAGUUGGUGGGGUAGAGGCCUACCAAGGCGACGAUCCGUAGCGGGUCUGAGAGGACGGCCCGCCACACUGGGACUGAGACACGGCCCAGACUCCUACGGGAGGCAGCAGUGGGGAAUUUUGGACAAUGGGCGCAAGCCUGAUCCAGCCAUUCCGCGUGAGUGAAGAAGGCCUUCGGGUUGUAAAGCUCUUUCAGACGGAAAGAAAUCGGGCGCGUGAAUAGCGUGCCUGGAUGACGGUACUGUCAGAAGAAGCACCGGCUAACUACGU
rnacentral:rRNA from 1 species